CUAAUUGUUUCACUUCGAUUGACAAAAGCCCAUGUCUGGAGCAUGUGUGUGCAUGCAUGUUAGACAGCAGAAUAUGGAGUACGCAGAAUUUUAUAAUUUUCAAUAGACAACAAUUUAGAGUGCACAUUAAAUACUGUUCUCCAGCCAGGGUAUUUGUAUCGUAAAUUUGGAGGCAUAUUUUCAUGGAACCAGGUAUCAUAAUUUUGAUCUGCGUCCUGGCCGUCGUCUCGUUCGUAGUAAUUCUGCUUCUUGGUAUUGUCAUUGCAAGGAAAAAGGGACGCUGCAGACGGACCCACUACUCUCAUGAUAUCACGACAGAAAGUCAAGCUGGAGAAAUUCUUGCAGUCGUUUCCACAACCAACAGGGCUCAAGCAGUGGAGAAAAAUACACAAUCAAAACCAACUACAAAUGCAACUUUCUCGUCGCCAACACAAUUAUUCCUACAGCAGCAGCAGCGUUCUUUCAUGUCAUCAUUACAACAGUCAGAUCAGCAAACGCGACUCCCUUUCCCAAUAACUUCGGUGAGUGGUCAAGUCGAGUUUGACAGACGUAAUGGAUUGCUUACUGGGAGUGAGAGGGUGUUCAGUUUGAGACCACCUUACACGGGAUUUGGUGGACCUCCGUCAUACACAGAAUCUUUGGCACUUCAACGACUUAGGAGCUCAAUUCGCUAGAUUAACGAAAGCUAAGGAAGGAAGUAACAAAAGGUCAUGCAAAGUGUGUCCUGAUAACGAAUUAAAUUGUGAAUCUCGUGCAUAACUCGUAACUUUGAAGGUGUAAGAAAUAAUUUUGCAAUUUACAUGGAAAAUCGUGAAAGGAAUUGGAAACAGAGACUCAUCUCGACCCGGAUAUGAGUCGUGCUUUACUUUUCCCUGUACAUAUUGUUGAGAGAUGUGACUAAAUAAAAUAUAGUCCAAAAUUACACAAAUUAAUGAAUCCUCUUGACUUACUCAUUACCAGGAGGUACAAAAAUAUGUGUUUGCACAGUUACCUGAUUAAUUACUAAUAUACCUACGAACAUGAGGAUGCAACUACUGAUGAUACGGUCAUAAUAAUCUUUACGUACUUUUAUGACUAUUAUGACUCACAUAAAGGAAACGGAGUGAAUGCAUGAAAGUCUAUUCAAAAAUGAUGCAUACGUAAGUAAACUGAACCUCAUCAUUAUCUCUUCUUCGUCAUCAUUUCAAUGGCCACAUGCCACAUUCUCUUUUCAUACGGAUUUUACCCAGUCUCAAAGUGUGAUUGAGAGCAUAGCGAACUAUUGCGACAGAUGAACAGAUGUGCUUUGCUGAAUAUGACCAGUUGUUUGUUGUUCGUCAUCAGUUAAUAACGUAUAGUCAAUUGUUUAACAACGUAUUGCAAUUUUGUCUGAAAUUUCGUAGUUUUCACGGGGAAUUUCGGUAUUUCGUGUGUUAAAAUUAAGUAUGAUGGAGUAUAUCUGGAUCUUUUUACCGGUUCCACUGACAAUUCUGAUUUUUGGAUGGAUGAUGUUUCUCAAAAAGUCUUUGAACUCGCCGAGCAAAAGAAGAAUAUUGCCGACCAGCAUAAUUUCAGACUUUGAUGAUGGAGCUUAUUCCUCAUCCGCACAAUUUCCCCGUGGUCGAAGGAAGGGACGGAGACCGUGUGCCUUAAAACAUUUGUAAAAUUGUAAACAAGAGACUGUGAAUCUAUAUGUAUUUAUGUAUGUACAUAGUAUGUAUUAAUUAUCUGUAAAAUAUGAUCUCGGAUAAAACGUGUCAAAUUUGCAAGUGCGUCAUUCCAAUUCCAUGUGGGUGGAUGACGAAACACUCGUGCAGCGUCAGUAUUAUAAUAAUUUAUGCACGCAUUUGUUUUGUAUAAUUUAUGCCUAAUAAGAGCUUUUGGCACUUAUUUAUUUAUUAUUUGCAUAUAUUGAAUGAAUAUGUGGAAUAUAAUAUUUUGAAGUUUAUAUAUCAAAUUA